UACAGAGGUCUCAAGCGUUGUUCGGAUUCAUUGGGCGUAAAGGGUGUGUAGGUGGCGCCGUAAGUCGGGUGUGAAAUUUCGAGGCUUAACUUCGAAACUGCAUUCGAUACUGCCGUGCUUGAGGACUGGAGAGGAGACUGGAAUUUACGGUGUAGCGGUGAAAUGCGUAGAUAUCGUAAGGAAGACCAGUGGCGAAGGCGGGUCUCUGGACAGUUCCUGACGCUGAGGCACGAAGGCCAGGGGAGCAAACGGG
rnacentral:rRNA from 1 species